UGGAAAGGCUGACCACAGACGGUGACAGUCCGGUAUUCGAAGCAAGACGAAGCAUAGUGGUAUCCUGAGUAGCGCGGGACACGAGGAAUUCUGCGUGAAUCUGCCGGGACCAUCCGGUAAGGCUAAAUACUCCCGUGAGACCGAUAGCGAACGAGUACUGUGAAGGAAAGGUGAAAAGAACCCCGAGCAGGGGAGUGAAAUAGUUCCUGAAACCAUACGCCUACAAGCGGUCGGAGCACAGCAAUGUGUGACGGCGUGCCUUUUGCAUAAUGAUCCUACGAGUUACCGUCACUGGCGAGGUUGAGUGUCACGAGACACGUAGCCGCAGUGAAAGCGAGCCUGAAUAGGGCGCACAGUCAGUGGGGGUAGACGCGAAACCAAGUGAUCUACACUUGGCCAGGAUGAAGUCCCGGUAACACGGGAUGGAGGUCCGCACCAAUAAGCGUUGAAAAGCUUCUGGAUGAGCCGAGUGUAGGAGUGAAAGGCCAAUCAAACUUGGAGAUAGCUCGUACUCCCCGAAAGGCAUUUAGGUGCCGCGUCGGAUGGUCACCGUGAGAGGUAGAGCGACCGAUAGGACAAGAGGGCUUCACCGCCUAUCGAGUCCUGACGAACUCCGAAUGCUCACGGUCUGCAGUCCGGCAGUAAGGGGGCGGGUGCUAAGGUCCGUCCCCGAGAGGAGAAGAAUCCAGACCGCCGUCUAAGGUCCCGGAGUUCUGCCUGAGUUAGUCUAACGAAGUCUGGUCCCUAUGACAGCUAGGAUGUUGGCUUGGAAGCAGCCAUUCAUUCAAAGAGUGCGUAACAGCUCACUAGUCGAGGGUCCGGGCAUGGAUAAUAAUCGGGUAUAAGGCAGACACCGAAGGCGCGGGAUAGCAAUUUUAAAAGUAUCGGUAGGGGAGCAUACUCACAGCGUCGAAUGGUGUACGUAAGUUAUCCUGGAGCGGUGAGUAAAGCAAAUGUAGGAAUAAGUAACGAUAAGGAGGGUUAGAUUCCCUCCCGCUGUAAGACCAAGGUUUCCCGGGCAAUGCCAAUCAGCCCGGGGUCAGUCGGGUCCUAAGUCUAAGCCGAACGGCGAUGGCGAUGGCAGAGACGGUUAAUAUUCCGUCACUGCCGCAUGGGGCGACGUGGAGACGGAGCAGUGAAACCACCGCGGGGCGACGGAAGUCCCCGUUGAAGGGUGUAGGUGUUGAGGAUGGCAGGCAAAUCCACCAUCCGAGCUGAACUUGAGAGUACGGAGUCCUCUUCGGAGGAAUCUGAUAGUGUGGGUAAUCAUACUCCCGAGAAAAUCCGCUAAGCUUAACCCAUGCGGCACCCGUACCGCAAACGGACACACGUGGUCGGGUAGAACAUACUAAGGCGUUGAGAGAUUCAUGGUUAAGGAACUAGGCAAAUUGACCCUGUAACUUCGGGAUAAAGGGUCCUCGUGAUGAGCGAGGCGCAGAGAAUAGGUCCAGGCAACUGUUUAACAAAAACACAGGGCUGUGCAAACUCGAAAGAUGACGUAUACAGCCUGACACCUGCCCGGUGCCGGAAGGUUAAGAGGAGAUGUCACUCGCAAGAGGAAGCAUUGAAUUGAAGCCCCGGUAAACGGCGGCCGUAACUAUAACGGUCCUAAGGUAGCGAAAUUCCUUGUCGGGUAAGUUC
rnacentral:rRNA from 1 species